CAUUAAAAAGAGAUUCUCUCUCUCUCUCUGUCUCUCUCUCUCUCUCUCACCCUCAACCAAGGAACCUAGCUUCCAUGUAAUGAAGAAGUCCUAGUCACAUGGUUAGGCUCCUUGUAGGUGUUCCAGUGACCAUCCCAGCUAAGGUCUUAGCCAAGGUCUAGGAUCAACUCCUAGCCAAGCUGGAGUGCAAUGUUGCCAUCUUGGUUCACCGCAACCUCUGCCUCCCGGGAUCAAGUGAUUCUCCUGCCUUAGCCUCCUGAGUAGCCGGGAUUACAGAAAUAAGUUGCAUAAUAGAUGCCAAGAUUUUCAUUAUUUCAAUAAAGACGCCACACCUGGAGCACAAGCCAUGAUUAGCAUCACCACCUACGAAUGGUAUCAUG